GUCGAAAUUUACGUGCUUCUCCUCCUUUUUUUAUAAAUACGUUCCGCCUGUAAUUAUUGUGUAAUAAUAAUACGUACAAGGACGUCUGCGUUUGCGUAAAGAGGGAGUUCAGUUCUCAGUGAUGCGGUUUGUCCCAACUUGUCCCCGUUUCUUAGAAAUAUUUGUUUUUCUUUCGGGAAUUUUUGUAAUUGGGACCGUAUUAGGAAAAUUUGCCUGUCUAGAAACUCUGGUCUUAGUGAGUCUCUUGGUAUUAUUUAAACAAGCCCCUUGUGUAAUGGGUUUUCGUGUCGUUAAAUGGAAUUCUGGGUCGUUUGGAUUCCCUGCGGAAGACUCCAAAUAUCUGGCAAAUUUUUGAAAUCCCAGUAGACCUGUAUAUCAGUAGAUCCCGUGGACUUGUAUGAAUAUCAAUUUUGAGUUUCAGUAAUUCAGGAAAAAAGAAAAUAAAUUCCAUUUUGCAUGAAGGUAAUGGAAAUUUGUCGAAC
rnacentral:lncRNA from 1 species